rnacentral:rRNA from 1 species
AUGAACGCUAGCUACAGGCUUAACACAUGCAAGUCGAGGGGCAGCAUGGUCUUAGCUUGCUAAGGCCGAUGGCGACCGGCGCACGGGUGAGUAACACGUAUCCAACCUGCCGUCUACUCUUGGACAGCCUUCUGAAAGGAAGAUUAAUACAAGAUGGCAUCAUGAGUCCGCAUGUUCACAUGAUUAAAGGUAUUCCGGUAGACGAUGGGGAUGCGUUCCAUUAGAUAGUAGGCGGGGUAACGGCCCACCUAGUCUUCGAUGGAUAGGGGUUCUGAGAGGAAGGUCCCCCACAUUGGAACUGAGACACGGUCCAAACUCCUACGGGAGGCAGCAGUGAGGAAUAUUGGUCAAUGGGCGAGAGCCUGAACCAGCCAAGUAGCGUGAAGGAUGACUGCCCUAUGGGUUGUAAACUUCUUUUAUAAAGGAAUAAAGUCGGGUAUGGAUACCCGUUUGCAUGUACUUUAUGAAUAAGGAUCGGCUAACUCCGUGCCAGCAGCCGCGGUAAUACGGAGGAUCCGAGCGUUAUCCGGAUUUAUUGGGUUUAAAGGGAGCGUAGAUGGAUGUUUAAGUCAGUUGUGAAAGUUUGCGGCUCAACCGUAAAAUUGCAGUUGAUACUGGAUAUCUUGAGUGCAGUUGAGGCAGGCGGAAUUCGUGGUGUAGCGGUGAAAUGCUUAGAUAUCACGAAGAACUCCGAUUGCGAAGGCAGCCUGCUAAGCUGCAACUGACAUUGAGGCUCGAAAGUGUGGGUAUCAAACAGGAUUAGAUACCCUGGUAGUCCACACGGUAAACGAUGAAUACUCGCUGUUUGCGAUAUACAGCAAGCGGCCAAGCGAAAGCGUUAAGUAUUCCACCUGGGGAGUACGCCGGCAACGGUGAAACUCAAAGGAAUUGACGGGGGCCCGCACAAGCGGAGGAACAUGUGGUUUAAUUCGAUGAUACGCGAGGAACCUUACCCGGGCUUAAAUUGCAGAUGAAUUACGGUGAAAGCCGUAAGCCGCAAGGCAUCUGUGAAGGUGCUGCAUGGUUGUCGUCAGCUCGUGCCGUGAGGUGUCGGCUUAAGUGCCAUAACGAGCGCAACCCUUGUUGUCAGUUACUAACAGGUUCCGCUGAGGACUCUGACAAGACUGCCAUCGUAAGAUGUGAGGAAGGUGGGGAUGACGUCAAAUCAGCACGGCCCUUACGUCCGGGGCUACACACGUGUUACAAUGGGGGGUACAGAGGGCCGCUACCACGCGAGUGGAUGCCAAUCCCCAGAACCUCUCUCAGUUCGGACUGGAGUCUGCAACCCGACUCCACGAAGCUGGAUUCGCUAGUAAUCGCGCAUCAGCCACGGCGCGGUGAAUACGUUCCCGGGCCUUGUACACACCGCCCGUCAAGCCAUGGGAGCCGGGGGUACCUGAAGUGCGUAACCGCGAGGAGCGCCCUAGGGUAAAACUGGUGACUGGGGCU